UGGGGAAUAUUGCACAAUGGGCGCAAGCCUGAUGCAGCCAUGCCGCGUGUAUGAAGAAGGCCUUCGGGUUGUAAAGUACUUUCAGCGGGGAGGAAGGGAGUAAAGUUAAUACCUUUGCUCAUUGACGUUACCCGCAGAAGAAGCACCGGCUAACUCCGUGCCAGCAGCCGCGGUAAUACGGAGGGUGCAAGCGUUAAUCGGAAUUACUGGGCGUAAAGCGCACGCAGGCGGUUUGUUAAGUCAGAUGUGAAAUCCCCGGGCUCAACCUGGGAACUGCAUCUGAUACUGGCAAGCUUGAGUCUCGUAGAGGGGGGUAGAAUUCCAGGUGUAGCGGUGAAAUGCGUAGAGAUCGGGAGGAAGACCGGUGGCGAAGGCGGCCCCCUGGACGAAGACUGACGCUCAGGUGCGAAAGCGUGGGGAGCAAACAGG
rnacentral:rRNA from 1 species